GCGGGGUUUGCGCUCUUGGAGCUGGAGCGAGUGGCCAGUCUCGCUGUCAAUCGUCGCAGACCCGCCAAUGACGACGUGGAAGGCGGGGCCAAAGGAACGCUGUCCAGGGAAGCGAAACGCUUGACCGGGCUCUUUAAAACGUGGAUUGUGCAGCGCGGCUUCCGUGGACCGUUCCCCUCCGGGAUGGGGAACAUGGCGGCUCCGUCUCCUGCUGUCCCCAAAGUAUUUCUACCAUCACCAUCCCCUUCAGGACCUGUGGUGGCAAAGUCCAGUCCAGGUCAUCCUGUGGGCCUGUACGGAGAAGAGAGUGGAACUGGAACCAACAGUCAAGAGCAGGCAGACAAAUGUUGCUGCGACCAGACGUUGUGUUUCGUGGACAAUAGAUUUCUGGUAUCUGAGUGAGAAAGACCCUUGGCCCUUUCUAGCUCUCAUCUUUGAGCUUGAGUUUCCACAGAUGGAGAUGGGGAGCACACCUUGCUAUCAGGACCAGCAAAUUUCCUCAGCGAUUCCUUCAAUCUCUCUAGAAACCAACUUCUCUACUUCUCCUGUGAUGCCAGGGGAAAGCCGGGCAAUUCGGACUUUGCCUUCUCUGAGCUGCAGUCUUUCCGGCCAACAUGGACACCUUUCGUCAAAGCUGAUGUGGCUCAGCACCAAGUUCAGGCUGGAGGCUUCUUGUUCACUGGCAGUGCCACCAAGAUCUCCUCUGUUCCCUGUCUGUAUAAAGUCACUUGUUUUCUGGGGGGUGUUAAUUUGUUGAAACUUAAGUGAAGAGUUUGGGUAAUUGGGAGGGAGUUCUUGAUACAAAUCUGCACUAGGUAAGGUGCGUUCCAAGACGCUUCUGCCCUUUAGUCUCAUGGAUGGCUCUGGUUCCCGGUUCCUCUAUUGCUUUAUUGGCACAGGUUUCAUCCAGAAGGUCGCAUCACAGAAGCUGAAGUUCACUCACCAAGGGUGAAAACAAUCCACAUUUCUUUGUGAGUAGAGACUAAAGUAUGUUGCCUUUAUGCAGCCCACUGACACUUCAAAGUCAUUUGAUCCUUCUGAUUGGUUGGAUCACAUAAGAUUUGCAGAAGAUAGGGGUCAUUAUGUUGUCUGCCCAGUGAAAACCUGAGACCUGAGAUACUUAGAAAUACCUGUGCUCAAGCCCAUGUUCCUUCACCAAGUGACAUGACAGUGACCAUCACUGGCCUGGUUGCUAGUCAAAAACUCAACUUGUGAAACUUAACCGUAACUGCGAUGCCUUCUUCCCCUUCCACAUACACUAGGGCCCACUGCCCAGGACAUUCAUUUGAGGUCCCUUCAUGGCGGGAGGGGUGCGAAAGACCUAGAUGAAUGGUUUCAGGGUCAAUCUGCUGAGUAUUGGCACUUGAAAACAAGUGACGGCUUUGAGGAUUCCAAAAGAGUGACUCUAAUUGAUGACAUUCUCAAAAUCAAGACUCUCAGGGAAAGAGAAGCUGAUCGGGUUCUCUCCCAGGAGUUCGUUCUGAGGCGAGCCAUGUCACUCACCCAGUGAGACAUGUACUCAUGAAUGUCUGCUCACUCCUGGGAGUGUUAAUGUGCUGUAGCUUUUGGUGUGAAGUAUUCCAUGUCAAAGUCGCGUUUGCCAUAUGUAUUUUUUCAUUCCUCUUGUUGCUGUGGGGGUUGGAAAGAGAAGGGAUUAUAUUGGACCCCUUAAGGGUAGGCUCCUGAAAUGGAGUGUAUUCCUUGUUAUACUGGUUCCCUGUUCUGUGCAAAAUGUCUAUGGCGGAAUAGUAUUCCAU
rnacentral:lncRNA from 1 species